rnacentral:snoRNA from 1 species
GGGAUGCUUGAAGUUUCUUUCAUUGUCCCUUUUUUGUGGGACGAUGAUACUAAAGUAUCCCAGAGUAACAAAGAAGCUGUCUGUUCAUCCCUGGGUAGUUAACAGGGUUGGAUCGUUCCACUUCUGACACCU